AGAACUUAGCAGAGAUGCUUUGGGUGCCUUCGGGAACUCUGAGACAGGUGCUGCAUGGCUGUCGUCAGCUCGUGUUGUGAAAUGUUGGGUUAAGUCCCGCAACGAGCGCAACCCUUAUCCUUUGUUGCCAGCGGUCCGGCCGGGAACUCAAAGGAGACUGCCAGUGAUAAACUGGAGGAAGGUGGGGAUGACGUCAAGUCAUCAUGGCCCUUACGAGUAGGGCUACACACGUGCUACAAUGGCGCAUACAAAGAGAAGCGACCUCGCGAGAGCAAGCGGACCUCAUAAAGUGCGUCGUANUCCGGAUUGGAGUCUGCAACUCGACUCCAUGAAGUCGGAAUCGCUANUAAUCGUAGAUCAGAAUGCUACGGUGAAUACNUUCCCGGGUCUNGUACACACCG
rnacentral:rRNA from 1 species